rnacentral:lncRNA from 1 species
AGGUUCAUUUUACGGUGAGGCAAAUAUUUUGAGAGAUGCCCUCAACCGGAAACCACUUGACGGCUAUCCCAUCCCUUAGUAUAGUAAGAAGAAGGUCAGUAGUCAAGGAAUGAGAAGAAUCAGAACUGCUGUGAGUCAGCAGGAGAGUUAUGAAGUUGCCCGCAAAAGGUAUGUAGAGUUUCAGAAGAGAGAAGAGUUUUAUCAGAGUGCGCAGCGGAAGCAUGAGGAGGUUCUCGAAGAAGUUGAGGUUGCUGGAGGUGUCUCCUAAAGAGAGGGUGAUUCAUAAUGGGCAGGAAGGUAAAUUAG